rnacentral:rRNA from 1 species
UUGAAUGUAAGGUUUUUAUUUAAUUAUUAUUAGUUAUGGUCUUUAAAAUUAAAAAUUUUGGCGGUAUUUUAGUCUUUUUAGAGGAACCUGUUCUUUAAAUGAUAGUCCACGAUUUGAUUGACUUUUAUUAUUAGUUUGUAUAUCGUCGUAAUUAAAUAUUUUUUUAGAAUUAUAAUAUUUAGAAUUUUUAAUAAAAAAAUUAAUCAGAUCAAGGUGCAGUUUAUAUAAAAGUAGAAAUGGGUUACAUUAAAAUUAUUUUUGGAUUUUAAAUAUUAAUAUUUAAUUGAAAGUGGAUUUAAAUGUAAUAUUAAUUAAUUAAUUAUUAUGAUUUUGGCUCUAAGAUAUGU